rnacentral:rRNA from 1 species
AACGAACGCUGGCGGCAGGCCUAACACAUGCAAGUCGAGCGGGCACUUCGGUGCUAGCGGCGGACGGGUGAGUAACGCGUGGGAACGUACCCUUUGGUUCGGAAUAGCCUCGGGAAACUGGGAGUAAUACCGGAUGAGCUCUUCGGAGGAAAGAUUUACCGCCAAAGGAUCGGCCCGCGUUGGAUUAGGUAGUUGGUGGGGUAAUGGCCUACCAAGCCGACGAUCCAUAGCUGGUUUGAGAGGAUGAUCAGCCACACUGGGACUGAGACACGGCCCAGACUCCUACGGGAGGCAGCAGUGGGGAAUCUUAGACAAUGGGCGCAAGCCUGAUCUAGCCAUGCCGCGUGAGCGAUGAAGGCCUUAGGGUUGUAAAGCUCUUUCAGUGGGGAAGAUAAUGACGGUACCCACAGAAGAAGCCCCGGCUAACUCCGUGCCAGCAGCCGCCGUAACAC